UACAGGGGGUGCAAACGUUGCUCGGAAUCAUUGGGCGUAAAGCGCACGUAGGCGGUUCGUUAUGUCGGAUGUGAAAGCCCUUGGCUUAACCGAGGAAGUGCAUCCGAAACUGGCGAGCUAGAGUACGAAAGAGGAUCGCGGAAUUCCCGGUGUAGAGGUGAAAUUCGUAGAUAUCGGGAGGAACACCAGUGGCGAAGGCGACUUCCUGGCCUGUUCUUGACGCUGAGGCGCGAAAGCUAGGGGAGCAAACGGG
rnacentral:rRNA from 1 species